GUCAUACUUCCAAGAAAAGCUUGCACUGUCAUAAAUAAGAAAUGCCUGUACCACAACCGACACAGGUGGGUAGGUAGAGUAUACUAAGGGGCGCGAGAUAACUCUCUCUAAGGAACUCGGCAAAAUAACUCCGUAACUUCGGGAGAAGGAGUGCCUUAUUCUUAAGGUUGCAAUAACAAGAUCCAAGCAACUGUUUAUCAAAAACACAGGUCUCCGCUAAGUCGUAAGACGAUGUAUGGGGGCUGACGCCUGCCCAGUGCCAGAAGGUUAAAGAAGUUGGUUAGCAAUUGCGAAGCUGGUAACUGAAGCCCUGGUGAACGGCGGCCGUAACGAUAACGGUCCUAAGGUAGCGAAAUUCCUUGUCGGGUAAGUUCCGACCCUCACGAAAGGCGUAAUGAUUUGGAUACUGUCUCGGAGAGGGGCUCGGUGAAAUAGACUUGUCUGUGAAGAUGCGGACUACCUGCACCAGGACAGAAAGACCCUAUGAAGCUUUACUGUAACUUGAAAUUGAAAUUGGACUUUAUUCGCGCAGUAUAGGUGGGAGGCGUUGAUUAUAAUCUUGUGGGAUUAUUGGAGCCAUCAGUGAGAUACCACUCUUGUAAUGUUAGAUUUCUAACUUUGAAUCAUUAUCUGGUCAAAGGACAGUUUCAGGCGGGCAGUUUGACUGGGGCGGUCGCCUCCUAAACGGUAACGGAGGCGUACAAAGGUUUCCUCUGAACGGUUAGAAAUCGUAUCUAGAGUGUAAAGGCAUAAGGAAGCUUGACUGUGAGACCUACAAGUCGAGCAGGGACGAAAGUCGGUCUUAGUGAUCUGACGGCACUGAGUGGAAAGGCCGUCACUCAACGGAUAAAAGUUACUCUAAGGAUAACAGGCUGAUCUCCCCCAAGAGUUCACAUCGACGGGGAGGUUCGGCACCUCGAUGUCGGCUCAUCGCAUCCUGGGGCGGUAGUACGUCCCAAGGGUUGGGCUGUUCGCCCAUGAAAGCGGUACGCGAGCUGGGUUCGGAACGUCGUGAGACAGUUCGGUCCAUAUCCGGUGUAGGCGUUAGAAUAUUGAGAGGAGCCUUCUUUAGUACGAGAGGACCGAGAAGGACAUACCUCUGGUGUACCAGUUAUCGUGCCAACGGUAAACGCUGGGUAGCUAUGUAUGGAGUGGAUAACCGCUGAAAGCAUCUAAGUGGGAAGCCCACCUCAAGAUAAGUAUUCUCAUC
rnacentral:rRNA from 1 species